AAAAUCUGGAACCCCUUUUGUUAUCUUCUCUUCCCGUGAGCUCCAUUUCAAAGAAUGAAGUGUUGACACUAAAACUCGGGCUUUGGGCACCUAUGUGAUGAAUAAAAAGACCCCUAAUUGACAAAUUUGGCUAUCGUCUCCUAUAAGGUAUAAUUGUUUCUUAUUCUUCUUCAUUGUUUGGUCUUGGGAAUCUUGGAUUUGGCAUUGUCUUAUUUGGAAUUGAAGUGGUCCAUCCAUAUUUGAUUGGGAUCAUAAUGUUCAAGCUUGGGCUUAUCGACGAACUAUAACAAAUUUGUUGAAACUCUUGGAAAUUGAGUUGGAGCAACUGUGCGGUAAACCAGUCAACCUUUCAUAGACUUUUGUAGAUCCUAUGAUGUUCGCAUAAUUUCUACCUUCGAAGCUUAUUUCACCAUUAAAGCAGCAUGCCUCGAUUUUCUUCAGCAAACUAUAUCUCAAGAUCCUUAAACUCCCUCAUGGGUUGUAAUUUUACAAAAAGUAGAAUCUGUCCCCAAUAAAUCAUCGUUCAACAGUAUGUUAAGACCCAUUGCUUUUUCACCCAACUUCUUGAUGACCGGUAGUAGCAGCCAUUAUAUCCAUUUUACCUGCAACUCUGUUUGCAGAU